AGACUACUGUGUUGCUGAUCAGUGCUGGUGCUGAUCUCUACGUCCGAGUUGGCCUCACAACGUCCAGGCACCACUGUGCUUUGCUUCAUUGACAAGGUGUGGCUGGGCCUGCAGAAAAGCUGUAAGCACACUGCAGUGUUGCUGAUCAGUGCUGAUCUCCACGUCCGAGUUGGUCCCACAACAUCCAGGCACCACGGUGCUUUCACAAGAGGCAUACGAGCACUUUGUGUCAAAAAUGCCGAGCACUGUGGAUACAGAGGCAAGGAGGCUGAAG
rnacentral:lncRNA from 1 species